CGGGUGUAGUCCGUACGUAAUUUGAUUUUUUAAAUGCACAACGCAAGAUACACACAUAGUUUGUGUAUCUAUAAGAUCGCGGCCGCUGCGUUGCGUGCCAGAGAUACAAAGAAAGAGCAACAACAGCAUUUUUGAUAUGUUAAGUUGAUCGUUGUUGUUGUUAUUGUUGUUGGGCUUAUUUCGGCCAAUGCGUGGGCCAAAAAACACCUUUAAAUAAUAAUUUAAUUACAGCUGUGUUCUGCUUUGAUGUAGACAGCAAUGGGAUACACAUUCUGCUACAGAUAGAGAUACAGCAACAGAUUCAAAUACAGAUACAGCCCUUGCAGCAUUUUCAUAAUGUUAACAUCAGACGUCAUGCGGAAGAUACUCUCGGACAUGAGUCACUACCCCCAACAAAAAGAAAAAGAACGAAGUGAACAACGAAAUUUAUGUCAGCAGUGCCAAAAGCGACGAGCGAAUAAAGGCAAUAAAAACAAGCGGCAAAUAAAUAAAUAAGAAAUUCUAAAUAAGAAAGAGGAAAACAUGAAAAAUAACAAAAACCCGAACAAAGUACUCAAAUAUUCAUGCAAUAUGUUCUAGUGUGUGUGUUUCUGUGUGUGCGAUUGUGUAAGUGUGGGGGCAUGUCCGUGGGGGCACAAGCAUAUUAUAUAUAUUUAUGCAAUUCAAAUGGGAGCCCAACAGGUUGCAACAGAAAUGAUUCAAAAAUAUCCCCAUAUGGCAAUUAAAAUUUUCAGCGCAAGCAAACUUUUUGUAACCAAUAAAAGCCAGAAUGAACAGUUA